GAUGAACGCUGGCGGCGUGCCUAAUACAUGCAAGUCGAGCGAACGGACGAGAAGCUUGCUUCUCUGAUGUUAGCGGCGGACGGGUGAGUAACACGAGGAUAACCUACCUAUAAGACUGGGAUAACUUCGGGAAACCGGAGCUAAUACCGGAUAAUAUUUUGAACCGCAUGGUUCAAAAGUGAAAGACGGUCUUGCUGUCACUUAUAGAUGGAUCCGCGCUGCAUUAGCUAGUUGGUAAGGUAACGGCUUACCAAGGCAACGAUGCAUAGCCGACCUGAGAGGGUGAACGGCCACACUGGAACUGAGACACGGUCCAGACUCCUACGGGAGGCAGCAGUAGGGAAUCUUCAGCAAUGGGCGAAAGCCUGACGGAGCAACGCCGCGUGAGUCAUGAAGGUCUUCGGAUCGUAAAACUCUGUUAUUAGGGAAGAACAUAUGUGUAAGUAAAUGUGCACAUCUUGACGGUACCUAAUCAGAAAGCCACGGCUAACUACGUG
rnacentral:rRNA from 1 species